AAGUCGUAACAAGGUUUCCGUAGGUGAACCUGCGGAAGGAUCAUUAACACGUAUCCAACGUUAAACAACCCUGUGAACUUUAAGUCCCCUCUUGCAGCCCAUGAGGAACAGCAAUCCCGGUAAAUCAUUGCCAAACAGUUUUGAUUCGGGACCUCUGUCCAAAAGGAGUUGCAAUCGAAGGGUGGAAGCAGUGGCAUGGCUUCCCCAAGCAGUUAGUGAAUGACAGUGUCACUGAUCACCGACCGGCAGACAUGUCACAGGGUCACCACGCCCCUUAAUCACUCCACUUGAAAAUGCCCCGCCUAGUGGUAACGCGCUAGGUAAAAAAAACCGAACAACUGUUAACAAUGGAUAUCUUGGUUCUC
rnacentral:misc_RNA from 1 species